rfam:Zea mays cultivar B73 chromosome 3, whole genome shotgun sequence.
AGAUGAUGUGAUGAUCGGAUUGUUUCCCUAUUGGUUUGAUUGGCCGCCAUGAUGGCUCAAUUUGUAAUAGCUCUUUUUGAUCAUCU